rnacentral:tRNA from 1 species
GCUGCGAUGGCCGAGCGGUUAAGGCGUUGGACUUGAAAUCCAAUGGGGUCUCCCCGCGUAGGUUCAAAUCCUGCUCGCAGCG